AUUGAACGCUGGCGGCAUGCCUUACACAUGCAAGUCGAACGGCAGCACGGGUGCUUGCACCUGGUGGCGAGUGGCGAACGGGUGAGUAAUAUAUCGGAACGUACCUUAUUGUGGGGGAUAACGCAGCGAAAGCUGUGCUAAUACCGCAUAAUCCCUAAGGGGGAAAGCGGGGGACCGUAAGGCCUCGCGCAAUUAAAGCGGCCGAUACCUGAUUAGCUAGUUGGUGAGGUAAAGGCUCACCAAGGCAACGAUCAGUAGCUGGUCUGAGAGGAAGAUCAGCCACACUGGGACUGAGACACGGCCCAGACUCCUACGGGAGGCAGCAGUGGGGAAUUUUGGACAAUGGGGGCAACCCUGAUCCAGCAAUGCCGCGUGAGUGAAGAAGGCCUUCGGGUUGUAAAACUCUUUUGUCAGGGAAGAAACAGCAGCUCUAACACAGUCCGGGAAUGACGGUACCUGAAGAAUAAGCACCGGCUAACUACGUGCCAGCAGCCGCAGUAA
rnacentral:rRNA from 1 species